GAGCAUCGGGACGUCAACAAAGAACAGAAGACUUGAGAUCUGAGCACCAGUGGACAGCGAAGACUAUGGAAGAGAAGAUGUGAUGGUUUUGUGUGGAAAGCUGCUAACGCCAGCCUGUGUCCCUCUCAUCAGUCUCUCCAGGCAGCACCCAGCUAUUCUUCCAUCUUGCAGAUGAAAAGACUUUGAUAUCAUCUGGACACAGCAGGAAUCUACGCCAGGAUCCUGUUUGUGGACUUCAGCUCUGCCUUCAACACAACACUCUGGCUGGAGGCUGCGCUCCAUCAGGACCAACACCUCUCUCCCUCAGGACCAGAACCUCUCUCCAUCAGGACCAACACCUCUCUCCAUCAGGACCAACACCUCUCUCCAUCAGGACCAGAACCUCUCUCCAUCAGGACCAGAACCUCUCUCCAUCAGGAC